rnacentral:rRNA from 1 species
GCGCGAAAACUUUACAAUGCGAGAAAUCGUGAUAAGGGAACCCCGAGUGCCCGUAAAUUCGGGCUGUUAAUCUGUUUAAAAAGCAGGUGGAGAAAGGGCCGGGCAAGACCGGUGCCAGCCGCCGCGGUAAUACCGGCGGCUCGAGUGGUGGCCACUAUUACUGGGCUUAAAGCGUCCGUAGCUGGAUUGUUAAGUCUCUUGGGAAAUCUACCGGCUUAACCGAUAGGCGUUCAAGAGAUACUGGCAAUCUAGGGACCGGAAGAGGUGAGAGGUACUCCAGGGGUAGGAGUGAAAUCCUGUAAUCCUUGGGGGACCACCUGUGGCGAAGGCGUCUCACCAGAACGGCUCCGACAGUGAGGGACGAAAGCUGGGGGAGCAAACCGG